UAUGCCCACAUCACAAUGAAACACUGGUCCCCAUGUGAUCAUCAAAGUUAAGCAAUGUUGAGCCUGGUCAGUACCUAGAUGGGUGAAUACUUGGGAAUGCCAAGUGG